AUAGUCCCUAGAGGUGUCAUAGGUGUGGCUGCUGUGCGACAUGUGCAUCAGUAGGUGGAAGAAAGGAGAGAGGUUGUACCUGAGCUCAUUGCUCUAAGCUUUGAACAUCAAAUGAUUAGUAGCAUAAAACU